rnacentral:rRNA from 1 species
GAGUGUUCAAAGCAGGCAGAUUCAAUUUUCUGCCACCGAAUACAUUAGCAUGGGAUAAUGGAAUAGGACCCUGUCCUCCUAUUUUCAGUUGGUUUUGGCAGCGCGAGGACUAGGGUAAUGAUUAAUAGGGAUAGUUGGGGGCAUUAAUAUUUAAUUGUCAGAGGUGAAAUUCUUGGAUUUAUGAAAGAUUAACUUCUGCGAAAGCAUCUGCCAAGGAUGUUUUCAUUAAUCAAGAACGAAAGUUAGGGGAUCGAAGACGAUCAGAUACCGUCGUAGUCUUAACCAUAAACGAUGCCGACCAGCGAUUAGGAGACGUUGAAUACAAAACACCACCAUCGGCGCGGUCGUCCUUGGCGCGUUCGUGUUCACGCACGGGCGCGCGAGGGCGGCUUAGCCCGGUGGCACCGGUGAAUGACUCCCCUAGCAGCUUGUGAGAA